AAAAUGACAAACCCUGGUUUCCGUGUCCAACGUUCGACCGUCCGCCUUAUUUAAAAAAAUUAUAAAAAAAAUUAAAAGACAAGUCACGCAUAAAAUAUUAAUCAUGUUUUAUCAUCUAACAACAAUGGAAAUACGAAUUAUAAAAAAAUUUCAUAUAAGACGAACAGUCAAAGUUGGACACGGAAACCCAGGGUUUGCCUUUUU
rnacentral:pre_miRNA from 1 species